UACGUAGGGUGCAAGCGUUAAUCGGAAUUACUGGGCGUAAAGCGUGCGCAGGCGGUGAUGUAAGACAGGUGUGAAAUCCCCGGGCUUAACCUGGGAACUGCAUUUGUGACUGCAUCGCUGGAGUGCGGCAGAGGGGGAUGGAAUUCCGCGUGUAGCAGUGAAAUGCGUAGAUAUGCGGAGGAACACCGAUGGCGAAGGCAAUCCCCUGGGCCUGCACUGACGCUCAUGCACGAAAGCGUGGGGAGCAACGGG
rnacentral:rRNA from 1 species